GCUCGAGUGGCCAAGCGGUAAGGCGUCGCACUCGUAUUAAUGUGCAAUGCGAAGACCACCGGUUCAAAUCCGGUCUUGAGCA